AUAGUAGAAAAAAACAAGAGGAGUAACAAGGAAUUUCUUCAAAGAGAGAAAACGUUUGGUGAAAGUUUUCAGAGAGAACUUGUGAAGGUAGCUUGGGGAGUUUUUGGCUGAAUGAAAAGUAAGCUAAAACGUUGUGUACGUUACGCAUUUUGAGACAGUGUAAGCUGUGAAAACAGGUGGUACCGCGAAAUUUCGCCCUGAUU
rnacentral:ncRNA from 1 species